rnacentral:rRNA from 1 species
UACGUAGGGCGCAAGCGUUGUCCGGAGUUACUGGGCGUAAAGGGCGCGUAGGCGGCCUGUUAAGUCGGACGUGAAAUCCCUCGGCUCAACCGGGGAACUGCGUCCGAUACUGGCGGGCUUGAAUUCGGGAGAGGGAUGUGGAAUUCCAGGUGUAGCGGUGAAAUGCGUAGAUAUCGGGAGGAACACCUGUGGCGAAAGCGGCUCACUGGACCAUAACUGACGCUGAUGCACGAAAGCUGGGGGAGCAAACAGG